AGGGGGAUUAUUGAGCAGGAGGGGAGGGAGAGCAGCAGGUUUCAAGUCACAUCAGUAAACGUCGUGGAAAAAUGUCGCGGGAGCCUUGUGGUCCUCUCUCUCCGCAUGACCACAGCUUAGCCCCUGCCCUGUGGUGGCUGACUUACUCCUGAAUUGCCUGGGGUAUGCGUAUCUUCGGGGAAAACAGCCACCUCCAUCCAUCAGUUCCUCAUGGCGUCCGUCAUUCCUUGGCUUUCUGCUUGCUUCACCCUCUCCAUCUGUCCUCUCUUCUUGGUGGCUGGCCCUCCCUGGGCGGAUGUGCUUUUGGCCACUGCAUCCCCGGUGAUGCUCGGCAGCGAGGCUGGACCAGCGUCGGAGCCCGGGACCAUGUCAGUCCCCGAAGGCACGCGUCCCCUGCACCUGCCACCCACGGCAGAGUGAGGGCACUGGUCCUUCCUGGCAGUGAGGAAGGGGGGACAAAGGGGAGCAGGCUGCUUUUGGGUGGCAUCGGUUUGGCGAAGAAAGCUGUUUCAAAAGAGGGCAGUUCUGUUGGGUUUGUCCUCAGAAAGGAGUUAAGCAGAAAAGACGAUGUGUAGUCAUAAGACCUGAGCAUUCCUACUGCAGAUGCCAUGUUGAACUAGAGCAUCUUGAAAUCUCAUUCACUCAGGAGGUCACCCCACAACUGCUCCGUCCCGUGCUGGGGAGCUGAGGUCUGUUUUGAAGGGGGCUACUGGGCUCCGCUGCCGAAGUGUCACUGCAGCGAUCUCCCUGAAGACACCUUCACCCAGUGAGAGUGGUUGGGGCGUCUUUCUAAUCUGGACUGGUAUUGGGCUAUUCCCAGGAGCUGGAUUUAGCCCGAUGCUGUCUGUGGCACGGCCGUGUGAUCCCAGGAGCACUAUCCUCCUCCCCAGCAUAGCCGGAGUCUCACUUUGUCACACCUGUGUCUCCUCUCUCGAACCUUCCAGUGGAAACGGUCCAGAUCGCCAGCGCCGCUCUUCCCUCCCUCCCUCCUUCCUUCGCUCAGGCUCCGUACUCUGCCUCAAAGUCUCAGGCAGGUGUUCAAAUAAAUAAUGCAGCUAAAAA